rnacentral:tRNA from 1 species
UGAAACUCAGUGGCAGAAUGCGUACUUUACAUGUAUGAAGCCCUGGGUUCAAUUCCCAGCA